rnacentral:rRNA from 1 species
CGUCUAGGCGGAUCGGUAAGUCGGCUGUGAAAUCCCUCGGCUCAACCGAGGAAGUGCAUCCGAUACUGCCGGUCUUGAGGGCGAGAGGGGAGAGUGGAACUCCUGGUGGAGCGGUGAAAUGCGUAGAUAUCAGGAGGAACGCCGGUGGCGAAAGCGACUCUCUGGCUCGUCCCUGACGCUGAAGCGCGAAAGCUAGGGGAGCGAAC